GUUAACAACAAACAAGAUGAGGACAAAUAUCCAUCAAAUGUAAAUAAUUAACAUAAUUCGUCAUCUCUUAGAUACAGAACUGUAGUUAUAAAUCUAU